CUUUAGGAAAAAGGAGAGUUGAGGGGACAUGACCCUUCACCUAAACUCCUGUAUUUCUUCCAGUGGAGAUAUAUUCUCUCAAACACCACAGCUUUGGCUUUCUUUCCUCUACAAUGAAAUCACAUACCGUGUGAUUCUUCCUGGAAUAAUCUCGCAAAAAUCUCACAAGGAAAUGCAGAAAAAGGAAGGUGUGAGAAAAAAUGAGACAGAAAAGAAUACUCCAGCUGACUAAGGGGAGAGAUUUAAAGGGUCCCUUGGAAGAGUUGAAGAAAAGACUGGAUGUGGCACUUAGUUCCAUGGUCUAGUUGACAUGGUGGUGUUUGGUAACAGGCUGAACUUGUUGAUCUCAGAAGCCUUUUCCUACCUAAUUGAUUCUAAAAGCAAC